rnacentral:tRNA from 1 species
GUGGUGGCUCAAAGGUAGAGUGCUCACCCACCAUGCAUGAGGCACUGGGUUCGAUUCUCAGCACCACG